AACGCACCUUGCGCCCUCUGGUAUUCCGGAGGGCAUGCCUGUUUGAGUGUCAUGAACACCUCACCCCCUCGGGUUUCCGAUUGGGUGGAUUUGGGUGCUGCCAGUUACAUGGCUCACCUUAAACGUAUUAGCGGUUGUUGACGUAAUAAGUUUCGUCUUGUCGACCGCUUCUAAUCUCCUUCGGGAUGUCUUUCGGGACACUUCAUGAUCUGACCUCAAAUCAGGUAGGACUACCCGCUGAACUUAA
rnacentral:misc_RNA from 1 species